rnacentral:rRNA from 1 species
AUUGAACGCUGGCGGCAGGCCUAACACAUGCAAGUCGAGCGGAUGAAGGGAGCUUGCUCCUGGAUUCAGCGGCGGACGGGUGAGUAAUGCCUAGGAAUCUGCCUGGUAGUGGGGGAUAACGUCCGGAGACGGGCGCUAAUACCGCAUACGUCCUGAGGGAGAAAGUGGGGGAUCUUCGGACCUCACGCUAUCAGAUGAGCCUAGGUCGGAUUAGCUAGUUGGUGGGGUAAAGGCCUACCAAGGCGACGAUCCGUAACUGGUCUGAGAGGAUGAUCAGUCACACUGGAACUGAGACACGGUCCAGACUCCUACGGGAGGCAGCAGUGGGGAAUAUUGGACAAUGGGCGAAAGCCUGAUCCAGCCAUGCCGCGUGUGUGAAGAAGGUCUUCGGAUCGUAAAGCACUUUAAGUUGGGAGGAAGGGCAGUAAGUUAAUACCUUGCUGUUUUGACGUUACCAACAGAAUAAGCACCGGCUAACUUCGUG